UAGUUAUUCUUUUGGUAUUUUUUGACGAGUAAACUGAAUGUAAGUCUUCCAUUUAAAGUCCAGCAGCAUUCCAGAUGUUUACGCGCACUGAUACAAAAGAACUGCUUCUGUUUUGUGCGGAAUCCACUCAGUGCAGGGCGGCCAUUGUGAGGUCAACCCAGAGGUGUACAAGAUGCCACAAGUCUAGUGAUCUUUGAAGUGUUCAGCAUCAAGUGUGGAAUCAUCUUAUACCUAUUGCAGGAUGCUGAGAAAAAACAACCAGCCCCUUGAUGGGAACUACAGUAGCUGUUGCAAUGUUAUCUUUCAUACACGUCUAACUCCAAAUAUAUACAGGUGACAGAGCAAAACUAUUGGCAAUGGCAGGACAUCCAGCUUAUUCGGGUUCUGUUAGUCAGGUCUUAAAGUAUUACAGCUGUCAAGCCUCUUGGAAGCCCAGACUUCGGGGACUGUGCCUCUGGCUCAGUAGGGGCUUGUUCAGCUAAGUUAGAUGGGUUUGCUGGAUGUCAAGGCCACAAAUAAUGUUAAGUUCCUUUUGCUCUUGUUCCUGAUGGUACUUUGCCUCAGCCCGACCUAGAGAUGAUCCCGGUAAACUACUGCCAAUAUUGUUGUUCUCCGCUUGUUUUCUUCCUCGUACGCCUCGCUGGCAGUAGCCAGUUUUUCUGCAUUGUAGUCUGAUCAGGGUCUGGGAUAUCAAGUAAAUAUGGGUUAGACAGUAGUAACACCAACCCUGUCCUAACAUCUGGAGUGGUGAUUCCGCCUUAAAUGUUCCAGAAGCCUAUUUCCAGAGAACACUUCAUUUAUGUAUUCAUUGAAUUUAAAACAAGAUGCCGUUUCAGCGUAACGGGGCUCCACGGUACUCCAGACCUUCCCUUAAAGUUGAGAUUUCCCCACCCUAGUUGGGUCUGUACAUACUCAUUUCAGGGUAUGCAGCGCACCGCUGACCCUGACCUCUUUUUGUCCAUGUUCAACAGCCCGAAAAAUUAACAUCCAAUUUUGAAAAGUAUAUUUUUGAAUGUUUGUAGCAUUGUGUUCUGACUUUUUUUCUUUUCCUAUUAAAUAAUCAUUGUAAAAUAACAUCGCUACACAAGAAUGAGAUUUUGUUAGGUACCAAGAUUUCAAGCAAUAUACGUGGUACAAUAGCAUGUUUUGUUUGUUGGCCUCGUCUUCCUCUAUUCUUGCAAUGUCUUGUUGUCUUUUGUUUGUCAUGGUUU